AGUACCAAGAAAGCUAUGGUACGGCUAACUUGUUAGUUUACCAGUCAGCUGCUGGAUGCAAUUAGCACGCUCGGAAAUAGAGCGACGAACUCGUCAGCGAAUAUUAAAGAAGCUUUUGUUUCAACGUCAGACGGAGAGGCUUCACCAUUUCCACCUGGAGGUGAUUACAUGAGGUACAGACUGAGCAACCAGAUUUCAUUGCUGCAAAUCAGUCAGGAAAAUUGAUCCCCUGGAGCAUCAUCGUUUGCAUAGCAUCAGUCCCGACUGGUAUCUUUAUCAAAAGAAGGUCCAAGCAGCGCCUUCAGUAAUUUGAGGCCUAUGUGGGCACCCCCAUGAAUAACCCGCGAACCGGUCGAGCGACGACGCUAUACAAGCCAUCGCCGUCUAUAUGACCAUACUCGUAACUGAAGAAGGAACUCGUCCACAAACUAACACGUAAAGGAAAGAACUCAUCAGCAAAAUAACACGUAAAGAAAGAACUCGUCCACAAACUAACACGUAAAAGAAAGAACUCGUCCACAAACUAACACGUAAAAGAAAGAACUCGUCUGCAUACUAAAACGUAAAAGAAAGAAGUCGUCCGAAAACUAACACGUAAAAGAAAGAACUCGUCCGAAAACUAACACGUAAAAGAAAGAACUCGUCCGAAAACUAACACAUAAAAGAAAGAACUCAUUCGCAAAAGAACUCGUAAAUGAAAG
rnacentral:lncRNA from 1 species